CAAGGUUUGAAUUGUUAACAUAAACUUUUCUCGUGAACUGCAGAUCAUUUUCAAUACGUAGAUUUCAUGUUUCUAUCGUUCAGUUUAUUGACUUUUCAUUGUAAGUGAAUGAUCUGUGAUGAAAUUUUUAAGCGAUCAACGUACCUUUAUUAAGAACGAUAUGGUGAUAAAAAUCGAAAAGAUAAACAUGCCACCCAGGCCAUACAGAUGGAGAGUUCUUCUUCCUGUUCUGUCCAUCAGCGGUAUCGUAACCAACGUCAUACAGACCAUAAUACUUCCAAUGCCUAUGGUUGCAAACUUGGCACUCUCCUCUGUCAGACCAGAAUUGGAGAAUAAACUAGUUGAAUAGUAGAAAACCUGAAAAAACAAGAUUUCAUCUUAAAGCCUUCACAGGGGAAAGACUCUCACCUCCUUAGUGCCUUCCUAGCUUCCUCCUCCCAUUGCUUGGUGAUGAGCAGAUAUCUAGGGCUUUCUGGGCAGAUAGGUAGCAGUAUGAGCUGCAGUAAG